rnacentral:rRNA from 1 species
AUACGUAGGGUGCGAGCGUUGUCCGGAAUUACUGGGCGUAAAGAGUUCGUAGGUGGUUUGUCGCGUCGUCUGUGAAAUUCCGGGGCUUAACUCCGGGCGUGCAGGCGAUACGGGCAUAACUUGAGUACUGUAGGGGAGACUGGAAUUCCUGGUGUAGCGGUGAAAUGCGCAGAUAUCAGGAGGAACACCGGUGGCGAAGGCGGGUCUCUGGGCAGUAACUGACGCUGAGGAGCGAAAGCGUGGGUAGCGAACAGGAUUAGAUACCCUGGUAGUCCAUGCCGUAAACGGUGGGCGCUAGGUGUAGGGGUCUUCCACGACUUCUGUGCCGUAGCUAACGCAUUAAGCGCCCCGCCUGGGGAGUACGGCCGCAAGGCUAAAACUUAAAGGAAUUGACGGGG